AGAGAGAGACAGAGAGAGAGGAAAAGAGACAGAGAGAGAGAGAGAAAUAAAGUAAUGUAUUUUGUCUAUCUAAUAGAAAGAGAGAUGUUUCUGAUGUGAGCGCUAUAAAGCGCUGCCUACUCACCACGACACAUAAUUGCAGAGUUGAUCUGAGGAUACAAUUAUCUACAUGAGUAAUGCUGUCGUUAAUCAUAAUGGAGUAAAAACAUAACCUUCUGAAAAAGUAACACCAUGAAUAAUCCUUAAAUCUAUUGACGCACCCGACCGUCAAUCUAAGUAACAUAAUAAAAAAUCCCUGUCAGUCAUCUGUGGUGGAAGGUGGCAGAGCCAGUCAUCUGUGGUGGAAGGUGGCAGAGCCAGUCAUCUGUGGUGGAAGGUGGCAGAGCCAGUCAUCUGUGGUGGAAGGUGGCAGAGCCAGUCAUCUGUGGUGGAAGGUGGCAGAGCCAGUCAUCUGUGGUGGAAGGUGGCAGAGCCAGUCAUCUGUGGUGGAAGGUGGCAGAGCCAGUCAUCUGUGGUGGAAGGUGGCAGAGCCAGUCAUCUGUGGUGGAAGGUGGCAGAGCCAGUCAUCUGUGGUGGAAGGUGGCAGAGCCAGUCAUCUGUGGUGGAAGGUGGCAGAGCCAGUCAUCUGUGGUGGAAGGUGGCAGAGCCAGUCAUCUGUGGUGGAAGGUGGCAGAGCUACCAGAGAUGUUUGUCAGACAUGACAAAAAUUGGUCUCACGAAAACGUCUGUAACGAUUUGGCUGUUCUCCGUUUUGCUCUACGAACCCACGGGACUCGUCUGAUGGUAAACAAACGAAUGGAUGUACGGAGGUUUUGUGCAAAUUAAUCGAAGGGGUUAAAUAGGUGUCGGGGAAAAAAAACUAAAAUAUUUCCUUAGGACAGACACUUCAAAACCUUAUUCCUUCUGAUCUAUUUUUGGAAUAUCUUUAUUACCAUUAUUCAAUGGGUAUCUGUCUGUCGGCUAUAGGCUAAAGAUUUAAAGUUACCCAUUUAGAUGUUAUCAUAUUUGUGCAAAUUCAAGGGCCAAAUUCAA